rnacentral:rRNA from 2 species
CUUUCUUUUUUAAAGACCUUCUUUGAAGGUAUGCUUAAGGAGGGGCUUGCGACACAUUACUUAUUGGUGGGUAAAGGCCUACCAAGACUAUGAUGUGUAGCUGGACUGAGAGGUUGAACAGCCACAUUGGGACUGAGACACGGCCCAAACUCCUACGGGAGGCAGCAGUAGGGAAUUUUCGGCAAUGGAGGAAACUCUGACCGAGCAACGCCGCGUGAACGAUGAAGUACCUCGGUAUGUAAAGUUCUUUUAUUAAGGAAUAAAAAGAGUGGAAAAACUCCCUUGACGGUACUUAAUGAAUAAGCCCCGGCUAAUUAUGUGCCAGCAGCCGCGGUAAUACAUAAGGGGCGAGCGUUAUCCGGAAUUAUUGGGCGUAAAGGGUGCGUAGGCUGUUUAAUAAGUUUAUAGUUUAAUUUCAGCGCUUAACGCUGUUGUGCUAUAGAAACUGUUUUACUAGAGUGAGAUAGAGGCAAGCGGAAUUCCAUGUGUAGCGGUAAAAUGCGUAAAUAUAUGGAGGAACACCAGAGGCGUAGGCGGCUUGCUGGGUCUUUACUGACCCUGAGGCACGAAAGCGUGGGGAGCAAACAGGAUUAGAUACCCUGGUAGUCCACGCCGUAAACGAUGAGUACUAAGUGUCGGGUAAAACCGGUACUGAAGUUAACACAUUAAGUACUCCGCCUGAGGAGUACGUACGCAAGUAUGAAACUUAAAGGAAUUGACGGGACUCCGCACAAGCGGUGGAUCAUGUUGUUUAAUUCGAAGAUACACGAAAAACCUUACCAGGUCUUGACAUUUUCUUGCGAAGUUAUAGAAAUAUAAUGGAGGUUAUCAGGAAAACAGGUGGUGCAUGGUUGUCGUCAGCUCGUGUCGUGAGAUGUUAGGUUAAGUCCUAAAACGAGCGCAACCCUUGUCGUUAAUUGCCAGCAUGUAAUGAUGGGGACUUUAACGAGACUGCCAAUGAAAAAUUGGAGGAAGGUGGGGAUUACGUCAAAUCAUCAUGCCCCUUAUGAUCUGGGCUACAAACGUGAUACAAUGGUUGAUACAAAGAGUAGCUGAAACGCGAGUUCUUAGCCAAUCUCACAAAAUCAAUCUCAGUUCGGAUUGAAGUCUGCAACUCGACUUCAUGAAGUGGAAUCGCUAGUAAUCGGAAUCUGCAGUCCC